rnacentral:lncRNA from 1 species
UUAACUUUUUAUUAUAAUAAUAAUAAAAAACAAAAUUUAGAAUUAAGAGCUAAUUAAUUUAUUUUGUGAUAAAGAUUGUAUAUUCUAAAUUAGAACCUCAUUUUUUCCAUUGUAAUUUAUUUUUCUGAUAUAUUGCAUUUAGAAGAAUUAUACAUCAACCCAAGAUGUGUGUGUGUGUAUGUUAAUUAAACAAAACACCUCAAACAGAAUUGUUUGUACAUAUAAAUUUGUACAUUCUGGGUUGUGUGAGAUUUGUACAUUCAAUGUAUGCAGGUGGGUGUGUAUGUAUACGACAAUAGUAAAAUAUCUUUCACCAAUUUUGACUUGUUUCAUUCUUUCUGUUAUAUACAUUUAUAUCACAAAACAAAUUCAGUUUUAUAUGUCAGUGUAAUUUAUGGUUUUGUAUAUUAUUAUUUUUAUAUACGGAAUGUCCCAAAUAUUACUAUUUAUCUUGAAAACUACUGGGAAUACAGGAAAAUAGGAUUAAGACAACAAAAUAGCUUUAUUUCAAAGUAAGUGCCAUCCAAGAGUAGAAAUAUUCAGUGA